CGGAACGGAGAGGAAAAGAGAAGAUGGAGAUGGCCGACGGCAGUUGCUGUGCGAACGGAUGGGGCGGCUGACUGCGGUUGGCUGCGGCAGGACGGGAAGAAGAAUAGGGAAAAUGGGUGGGCGGCUUAGGGUACCGGAAGGAGAAGAAAAGAAAAAUGAGAGGGGUUGUGUGCGCGCGAGAGAGAGAGAUAAAUUUCUUUUUCUUUUCUUUUUAUUUAAAUUAAGUAUAAAAAUAUAUAUAUAUAUAAAAUUAAAAACAAAAUAUAUAUAUACAUACCUUUGGGGCAUUACAUUCUUCCCUCCUUAAGAAACUUUCGUCCUCGAAAGUUCUAAUCCUGAAAUAACUCUGGAUAACGAGUCCUCAUUUCUUCCUCUCGCUCCCAUGUCGCCUCUUCAAUUCGAUGAUUCCGCCACAAAACCUUUACUAAUGGAAUGCUUCUAUUACGAAGCAUCUUUACCUCUCUAGCCAGAAUCUCCACAGGUUGUUCUACAUAGCUCAAAUGUUCAUCAAUCUCCAAGGGUUCAUAGUCCACUACAUGAGACGUAUCGGCCACAUACUUCCUCAACAUCGAAACAUGAAAAACAUUAUGAACUGCAGAGAGAGAUGGUGGUAAUGCAAGCGAUACGCCACAACACCAACCUCUCUAAGAUCUCAAAUGGUCAACAAAACGAGGACUUAACUUUCCUUUCUUCUCAAAACGCAUAACACCCUUCAUAGGUGCUACCUUCAAGAAUACCUUUUCUCCCACAUCGAACUUAAGGUCUUUUCGUCGUACAUCCGCAUAACUCUUCUGUCUACUCUGCGCUGUUUGCAUACGUGCUCUAAUCUUUUGAAUAGCCUCAUUAGUAGACCGAACUAAUUCAGGUCCCAUCAAUCUAUGUUCACCAACCUCACUCCAACAAACAGGGGUUCUACAACAUUUGCCAUAUAAAGCCUCAAAUGGUGCCAUACCGAUGGUAGCCUGGAAACUGUUGUUAUAAGCAAACUCCAUCAAAUGUAGAUGAGAGUCCCAACUACCUGGAAACUCUAUAACACAAGCUCGUAGCAUAUCCUCUAAAACUUGGUUCAAACGUUCAGUUUGACCAUCAGUCUGUGGAUGAAAGGCUGUACUGAAAUCCAAUCUGUACCCAUAGCAGUCUGAAGUCCCUUCCAAAACUUGGAAGUAAACCGUGCAUCCCUAUCAGAAACAAUCGAUACAGGCACUCCAUGCAGUCUCACAAUCUUAGUUAAAUACAACUCUGCCCACUUACUAGCAGUAUAAGUGGAUUUUCCUGGUACAAAAUGUGCGAUUUUGUGAGCCUGUCUAUGACAACCAGAAUCACUGUGAAACCCUUCAGGGUCUUAGGCAGCCCUGAAAUAAAAUCCAUCGACACAUUCUCCCACUUCCACUCUGGCACACUUAAAGGUUGUAGUAAACCUGCUGGUUUUUGUCUAGGUGCCUUAACUUGCUGACAUACUAGACACUUACUAACAAAUUCCGCCACUUCUCUCUUCAUAUUCCGCCACCAAUAAAAUCGUUUUAGAUCCUGAUACAUUUUCGUGCUACCAGGAUGCAUGGAAAAUGGGGAAUUAUGGGCUUCAUCUAGUAAGUCAAUCUUAACUGUACUGUUCGCUGGCACACAUAAACGUCUCUCAAACAUCAACCCACCAUCAGAGGAUAUGGAGAACUCAUCAGUCUGCCCUGUUUCAACAAGGCUACGUCUCUCCAUCAAAUAAGGAUCAUUACUCUGAGCAUCAACAAUCUUGUGCCUCAGAGUCGGUUGCACCGUUAAUUGAGCUAGCUGUGAGGUGACUCUCCCACAGACACUUGAAUCUCAGCUCUCUCCAAGUCUCGAUGCAAUGGUACCUGUCUAGUAAUGAGUGCUGCCGAAUGUGAUACUUUUCUACUAAGAGCAUCAGCCACCACAUUCGCCUUACCAGGAUGGUAUAAUAUCUCACAGUCAUAAUCUUUUACCAACUCGAGCCACCUUCGCUGUCUCAUAUUCAACUCCUUCUGAGUGAAGAAGUACUUUAGGCUCUUAUGGUCAGUAAAGAUUUGUAUCUUUUCACCGUACAAGUAAUGUCUCCAUAUCUUCAAUGCAAAAACCACUGCUGCCAACUCCAAAUCAUGUGUGGGGUAGUUCUGCUCGUGACUCUUCAACUGACGAGAGGCAUAAGCAACCACCUUACCUUUCUGCAUCAAAACACAACCCAGUCCUUUCUUGGAAGCAUCACUGUAAAUCACAAAACUUCCAGAUCCAUCUGGUACAGUAAGGACCGGUGCAGUAACUAACCUUUGCUUAAGUUCUGAAAACUAUCCUCACAAGCUGGACUCCAAACAAACGGAGUUCCCUUCCUUGUCAACUGAGUCAAAGGAGUAGCCAAACGUGAAAAAUCCUCCACAAACCUCCGGUAGUACCCUGCUAAACCCAGAAAACUACGAACCUCACAACUGUGGAGGGUCGAGACCAACUGGUAACCGCUUCUAUCUUUGCAGGGUCUACUGAAACUCCCUCACUGGAAACCACAUGACCAAGAAAAGCCACCUGCUUCAACCAAAAUUCGCACUUCGAGAACUUAGCAUACAGUUUAUUGACUCGAAGAGUCUCUAACACCUUAUGUAAUGUUCCUCAUGUUCGCUUCAGUCUUGGAAUAAACCAAAAUAUCAUCAAUGAAGACUAUCACAAAAGUGUCCAAGAAAUCCUUAAACACCCUGUUCAUCAAAUCCAUAAAUACAGCAGGUGCAUUAGUCAAACCAAAAGACAUACUAUGAAUUCAUAAUGUCCAUACCUCGAACGAAAGCAGUCUUAGGAAUAUCACGGUCUCUAAUCCUCAACUGGUGAUAACCUGACCGUAAGUCAAUCUUAGAGAACACCGUGGCUCCCUGUAACUGAUCGAACAAAUCAUCGAUUCUGGGUAAAGGAUACCUGUUCUUGACUGUUACUUUAUUCAACUCUCUAUAGUCAAUGCAAAGACGCAUCGACCCAUCCUUCUUCUUCACAAACAAUACUGGUGCACCCCAAGGUGACACACUAGGUCGAAUAAAGCCUUUGUCAAGCAAUUCCUGUAACUGUACCUUCAGUUCUUUCAACUCAGCAGGAGCCAUCCUAUAAGGGGCUCUAGAAAUAGGAGUAGUGUUUGGCUCCAACUCAAUGGCAAAAUCAACCUCUCUAUGUGGCGGUAGUCCUGGAAGAUCUUUUGGAAAUACAUCUGGGUAUUCUCUUACCACAGGUUCUGAAGUUAAAGAAGUCUCACCUUCCCUAGUAUCCACCACACUUGCCAAAAUACUCCAAGUACCCUGGCUGAGUAGUUUACUAGCUUUCAUAGCUGAGAUUACUUUAGGCAGUACUACUGUUCCUACUCCCUUGAAUUUAAAGCUAGAUGCAGUAGGGGGACUAAACACAACUUCCUUACGAGAACAAUCAAUACUAGCAUGAUUAGUAGCUAGCCAAUCCAUACCUAAAAUUACAUCAAAGUCACGCAUAUCUAAUACCAACAAGGUUACGUCCAGUACACGACCAGCUAUCAAUUUCACAUGCUUUAAUCUUUUCCUUAGACAACAUAAUUUCUCCAGACGGUGUAGACACUGACAAAACAUAGUCUAAGGGUUCCACUCUAAGCAUGCAUGCGUCACAAAAAGCGAUGAAAUAAAUGAAUGAGAAGAUCCCGAGUCAAACAAGGUCAAGGCAAAAUGCCCAAUACUGGUAAUGUACCUGUCACUACUGUGCCGGCCUUCUCUGCCUCUGAUCUAUUAGUGGCAAAGAUUGUACCCCGCUGUGGAGGUCUCUCUCCCUGACUGCUCGAUCCAGCCCCAGUAGAUCUCAAGGGACACCUAUCAGCCAUGUGUCCCUCUUGCUUGCACUUAUAACAGACUCUCGUUCCCAUCAAACAACGACCCAGGUGGCGUUUCCCACACGUAUUACAUACUGGCCUCUCUUGAGUAGUGUCUCCUGCACCGCCAGAACUCUGCUGGAAACUGCGAAAAGAAUCACCGGUCUCAUGUUCCUCUGAGGAACUCCUACAGUUCUCUGCUCUACUUUUCUCUUUUGACCCGACGACGAUCCCUUAUUAAAGCUCCUUGGCUGUCUUUCAUCCUUCCCAAUACUCAUAUCCACUGCCAGACGCAGUGCUUCAGCUUGGGUAGUGGGCUUUAGUGCUCGCACAAAACCCCUAAUUUCAUCUCUCAAUCCCUUGACGAACCUAUCAGCUCUAGCCUGCUCAUUACUAACAAGCUCAGGGGCAAAACGUGACAGCAUAUCAAACUCCUGGUCGUACUCCUCGACUGUCAUAUAUCCUUGCUUCAACUCCAAGAAUUCCUGGCUUUUGGCGUCUCUAAGGUUAGCCGAGAAAAACUUGGUAUAGAAGCAGUCCUUAAACUGAUCCCAGGUAAUCUGCCUCACAUCUCCACCUAGCAUGCGCAUUGUAGUCCUCCACCAGAUAAUGCCUCUGUCCCUCAGUAGAAAAGCAGCACACUGAACUCUGUGCUCCUCAGGACAUCUCAUGUAAUUAAAUAUGGUUUCCACAGAGGACAACCACAUUUCAGCUUUAGUAGGAUCCUCCAGUGACCCAUCAAACGUCUGAGGGUCAUACUUCCGAAAGUCCCUCAAAUGUUUCGCCUCAGCAGAAAGUUGGUUAGGUAAUUCUUGUGCAGGAGGGGCUGCUGGUGCAGGGGGAACUACAGGUGCAGGUGGACUGCAGGUGCCUGCUGGUUUUGAGCUAUGGCUGUCAUAAGUUCUGUAAACCUCUGCUCCAUGUGAGCAGACAGUGCAUCAAACUCAACGUGAGUCACGGGUGCAGCAGGAAUUCGCUGUUCAGCUUGACCCUCAGUAGGCUGAUUACGACCUGCUCCUCUACCUCGGCCUCCUGCUCCUCUACCUCGGCCUCUACGACCUCCUCUACGUACUUCUUCCCUUGGCGGCAUAAUUCCUAUUAUCCACCAACAACACUCUUUAACAAAAUCUUAAUCAUAAACAUAAGCAAGUCUUUAUCGUCAUGCAAUCUAGUUUAAUUUAGGCAAGGUCAUGCAAAUAAACCAUACAUAUAAGCAUCAAGCAUACCUGACGAGAGACGAAGGGUCGCGUUAGCCAUAGGAACACAAAAACAUAGACUUACAUCGUAAGUCAGUCUACAGAACCUAAAACUUAGGCUCUGAUACCAACUGUAACGACCCAACUUUUCUAGGUAAGUCGAGGUCAUUAAUUUUUAACAAAAGACUUUGAUUGAUACAAAAUGAAACGUAAGUCAAUUUAAAAACAAAUUAUGUCAGGCCUGAUUUUCAAAUAUUCAAGAAAACUUAAAAAUAACACUAUUUACAAAUAAAAGUUUGUAAACUAAGUUUUAGUACAUCUUAAACUCUUAAAGAAAUCAUAAGCGGAAGCAAAAUACACGUUUCCUAUGGCAAUCACGCUUCCUUCCUGCCCCUCGCCGGUUUGCCACCUUUAUUUCCUUUGCCUGAAAAUUAAACAUAAGAAGGGUGAGUAUAACAAUACUCAGUAAGAGACCCUCUACUGGUCUCGUCAGGGGAAAAUAAAUUGUUAAAGUUCUAUUGGGACACCCUGUACAGUCGCAGUCUUGUGAUCCCGUAGGAUACACAUUCAGUCUAACGCCCCGAAGGACGUACAUAUCAGUCUAACGCCCCGAGGGACGUACAUAUCAGUCUAGUGUUCUGCAGAACACAUAUCAGUCAAAUGCUCCCGAAGGUGCAAAAUAAAUUGGUGAUCCCGUGGGACACCUACAAGGUAAACAUCCCAAUACAACCUAACAAUUUAUCCCCUCAUUCCAUUCAACCCAUCUUUCAGUUACUUCAAACACAAAGUUCUUUCUUUCAACAUCCUAACAGUCAACUUAUACUACAGUCAUAUGUCUGUCAAUAAUAUGCUAAUACAUCAGUCAAUCACUAUACAGUCAAGUCAAUACACCCUCAGUUCACCAGCACAAACCACAGUUCAGUAUAAUCCACAUCCAACCGAAACAAAUUCACUAGUUCACAUCCAAUCUUUAUACAGCACAAUCUAUUAAUAUCAUCAUGUACACAUAAGCAUAAUUUCAGUCAUUCACAUGUAUACUUUCGGCAAUCCACAUCAAUUCACACAUCAAUGUAUAUAUAUAUGUUUCCAGUCAAAUACAACAUACACUAAACAUUUAGUCUGCAAUCAAACAUGUACAUCUUAAUCAUCAUCCAUACAGUCCAACACAACUCAAAAACUUUAGGUGAGUCCAGUAGAAAAUCCCUUACCUUCAAAUUUGUUAAGCUCCUUAACCACGUUGAAGUCUAUGAAGAACGAACCUAAACAUUAAGACAAUUUCUCAAUAAUUCCCUUCAACGCAUCAGUCAUUUAAAUUCAACCCAAUGUGAAUCUUUUUGCAACUUACCCAAAUCUUCGCGAAGAAAUCGAGCAGUGGCUUUGCGAAGAGAUGACGUGCGACGGAGAGACCGUAUACUGAUGGCCGGAGAGUCGCGCGGCAGUGCAGACGACGGAGGAGAAGGAAUCGGCGGCGGCUGGGCUGAAAACAGAGGAGAAAGGAGAGGGAGACAGCCGGCGGUUACAGGUUCACGCAGCGGCCUUGCUUCGCGAACAGAGAUGGCGGCCGACGGUUGCAGCGACGUCCGGCUGGGUUUGGACGGAACGGAGAGGAAAAGAAGAUGGAGAUGGCCGACGGCAGUUGCUGUGCGAACGGAUGGGGCGGCUGACUGCGGUUGGCUGCGGCAGGACGGGAAGAAGAAUAGGGAAAAUGGUGUGGCGGCUGCUAGGGUACCGGAAGGAGAAGAAAAGAAAAAUGAGAGAGGGGUUGUGUGCGGCGAGAGAGAGAGAUAAAUUUCUUUUUCUUUUCUUUUAUUUAAAUUAAGUAUAAAAAUAUAUAUAUAUAUAUAAAAUUAAAAACAAAAUAUAUAUAUACAUACCUUUGGGGCAUUACAGAUACAGCUUCAGUAUCAGAAAUGGGUAGCGAAGCUAACGGGAUACUCAUUUGAGGUGGUCUACAAACCCGGCUUGGAGAAUAAAGCAGCAGACGUCUUAUCUUGGAUGCCUCCUACAGUUAACCUCGGUAGCAUAACAGCUCCUACAUUGGUUGACAUUCUGGUGAUUAAAAAGGAAGUCGAAGCGGAUGAAAAGUUGAGCAAAAUAAUGGAAGAACUACAAGCAAUGGAAGAAGGAACAGAGGGUAAAUUCUCCAUCCGACAAGGUAUGUUAAGAUAUAAGGAUAAGUUUGUGCUGUCCAAAACAUCUACAUUGAUACCCACAAUCCUACAUACUUACCAUGAUUCGGUACUUGGAGACC
rnacentral:lncRNA from 1 species